ACUAGAUAAGUUUUAAUGUGUGAGAGACAGAGAGACAAAAAAAUUGAGGAAUCACAUCCUGUGUAGGUAUAGAAAAAAAAAUUCUUUUUUGAGACAAGGUCUCACUAGGUAGACCAGGCUAGCCUUGAACUCAGAGAUCCACCUGCCUUUACCUCUCAGAUUCUGGUAAAGAUGUUUUUAAAGAAAACUUGAAAUUCUUAUUGUAAUUACAAACCAUUUCCUAAGGUUUGUUUUAUACAUUCAGAGAUUUGCAUCAUAGGAAAGAGUUAUUUAAACUAAGUCUGUGCUUCUAAGGGGAACACGUAUUGAUUAGGUGACAAAACUGUAUCCUGCUUGAAUAUAACAGAAGCGUUAGCAGAGCCUGUCUGUGGUUCCUGUGUUUUGAGGUCCCUUACAGAUAGAUCUGAGACAGAGACCAGCUGAGUAACCUCUCUUGGGUCCAUCCUAGCUCUCAAAAGCUCCCUCUAUGUGUGUCUUGAGCUGACCCAAUAGCUCUGCAGCAGGGUCCCCAUUGGUCACCCUCUAUGGUCCCUGGAUCACAUGCAGGUAAUAAAUAACUACCCUAUGUUCUUUCUUCUUUCCUGCCCCAGAUUCUCUGGUCCACUUGAACCAUGCCUCUUUCAAGCAGAGAUUUGCUCUGUAUCAGCCAACUCUCUGCAAAUCAGCUGACUAAUGAUUUUCUAUCUUUAUUAUAAAACAACCUAGAAAAGUUUGUAGUUUACUGAGAAUCCCUCUGAGUCAUAUCUCAGAAAAAAAGUCCUCCACGAGCCAUUCUAUAUGAUUUUGGGUCAGAGGAGCCGCCUCUUCAUUCCUAAAAGCAGCUGGCUUUUAAUACCGUGGCUCUGGACCAGGAGACGGGUAGACACUCGGGCUUCCAAGGCAUUGUAGAGGAGCAGUCGAUGUUUGGCAUGUCACUUUUGUCAGCGAUUUGGUCAUCCCUGUAAAGAGAAGAUUAUAACAACUCUGUGUGUGUAUGUGUGCAUGUGUGUACACACUCAGCACCCUUUGCCCCCGGGGUUGUCUACAAAUCAAUGAGAUCAUCUAAGUGAAAUACUGUGUCUACUCAAUCGUAAGUUCCCUUUAUAACCGGAUUACACUUUCCAUGAGUCAUCUCGUACGUCAGUUCUUGGCAUAGCUGUCGUUAAUCCUACCAUGGUUUCUCUUUUUUCUCCUUUCUCGUUUCCUGGCAAAUGAUCAAGUUGGUCAUAUGCACAUCUCCCUAUGCCAUAUUUAAUACCUUUUUGGUUCCAGUUAGGUAUAUAAGCUCCCCCCCCCCAUCACUAGGGAGACUAGAACUCCCUCCCUCACUAGGAAUCAAUCAGAAUGUCUUCCAGUUGACAGCUGGAUAUCUGACAAGUGACACACUAUUGUUCAAUCUCUGUGCAGUCAUGGGGAAAAACCAAAGGAUGAACUGAGAAUCCAGAAUUGUGUGCUCCAGACUCCCACUGCCGUUGAUAUCUAAGGGGGCUCCAGGCUGUGUCUUUAAAAAAAUGUUGUCUUUGAAACCCACUCCUUCCCAAAUUUCUUCCCAAUUUAAAAAAAAAAAAUCACCGAUUUCAAUUUGGGCCGAUCACAUAAAUGUACCCAAAGGGGUAUGGGUGACCUGUGAGUGGCCACCUCUCCCCCAAGAAAAUUGUUUCUUCUUCCUCAGCAGUCAAGCCAUU
rnacentral:lncRNA from 1 species